CCCGCGGCGCAUUAGCUAGUUGGUGAGGUAACGGCUCACCAAGGCGACGAUGCGUAGCCGACCUGAGAGGGUGAUCGGCCACACUGGGACUGAGACACGGCCCAGACUCCUACGGGAGGCAGCAGUAGGGAAUCUUCCGCAAUGGACGAAAGUCUGACGGAGCAACGCCGCGUGAGUGAAGAAGGUUUUCGGAUCGUAAAACUCUGUUGUCAGGGAAGAACAAGUGCGAGAGUAACUGCUCGCACCUUGACGGUACCUGGCCAGAAAGCCACGGCUAACUACGUGCCAGCAGCCGCGGUAAUACGUAGGUGGCAAGCGUUGUCCGGAAUUAUUGGGCGUAAAGCGCGCGCAGGCGGUCUUUUAAGUCUGAUGUGAAAGCCCCCGGCUCAACCGGGGAGGGUCAUUGGAAACUGGAGGACUUGAGUGCAGAAGAGGAGAGCGGAAUUCCACGUGUAGCGGUGAAAUGCGUAGAGAUGUGGAGGAACACCAGUGGCGAAGGCGGCUCUCUGGUCUGUAACUGACGCUGAGGCGCGAAAGCGUGGGGAGCGAACAGGAUUAGAUACCCUGGUAGUCCACGCCGUAAACGAUGAGUGCUAAGUGUUAGAGGGUUUCCGCCCUUUAGUGCUGCAGCUAACGCA
rnacentral:rRNA from 2 species